CCUGGCGGCCUUAGCGCGGUGGUCCCACCUGACCCCAUGCCGAACUCAGAAGUGAAACGCCGUAGCGCCGAUGGUA
rnacentral:rRNA from 2 species